rnacentral:rRNA from 1 species
AGAGUUUGAUCAUGGCUCAGAUUGAACGCUGGCGGCAUGCCUUACACAUGCAAGUCGAACGGCAGCACGGGAGCAAUCCUGGUGGCGAGUGGCGAACGGGUGAGUAAUAUAUCGGAACGUGCCCAGUCGUGGGGGAUAACGCAGCGAAAGCUGUGCUAAUACCGCAUACGAUCUACGGAUGAAAGCGGGGGAUCGCAAGACCUCGCGCGAUUGGAGCGGCCGAUAUCAGAUUAGCUAGUUGGUGGGGUAAAAGCCCACCAAGGCGACGAUCUGUAGCUGGUCUGAGAGGACGACCAGCCACACUGGAACUGAGACACGGUCCAGACUCCUACGGGAGGCAGCAGUGGGGAAUUUUGGACAAUGGGCGCAAGCCUGAUCCAGCAAUGCCGCGCGCAGGAUGAAGGCCUUCGGGUUGUAAACUGCUUUUGUACGGAGCGAAACGGUCCUUUCUAAUACAAAGGGCUAAUGACGGUACCGUAAGAAUAAGCACCGGCUAACUACGUGCCAGCAGCCGCGGUAAUACGUAGGGUGCGAGCGUUAAUCGGAAUUACUGGGCGUAAAGCGUGCGCAGGCGGUUAUAUAAGACAGAUGUGAAAUCCCCGGGCUCAACCUGGGACCUGCAUUUGUGACUGUAUAGCUAGAGUACGGUAGAGGGGGAUGGAAUUCCGCGUGUAGCAGUGAAAUGCGUA